GAUGCCACAUGCAAAGAAAGAACAGCGUGCCCGACACGAGAGUUGAACCCAGGACAGCUAACCCUGACAGCUAACUUAUGUAUCAAUUCAUGGCUAAUUAAGAACGUGCUUUUGAUUGUCUGAACCUGGUUAAGACGAUGAAGGCUCAGUCAGUUAGAGCAAGUAUCGCGGAUAUUCUGGCAUAUCUAAAAUACUUCUUAAAGAUGCCAUAUCAGAUAUAACUCCAUCAGUAUACAUGCGUAUGUAUGGUUUGAGUACGACCCUGUCUUAAUGCACACAAAGAAGCAAAAUAUUUGUGUUAUACUAAACAGUUUUUUUUUAAUUUCUUUUCUACGUUAGAACGAGUUCAAAACAUGCGAAGAUCACAUCUGUGACUAUCUUAGAUAUAAAUACAGAACCGUCGACAUGAUAAGAAAAAGCUACCAAAAGCAAACCUAGAGUCCACUUAUCAUAAUUCAUUCACAGCAUAAAGACUAGAGUUGUGUUCUGUGGAACCACAGGAUGGUGUGUUACUCAUUCAGAUUUUUGGCUAUGAUCAUAUUUAUAAGUGGAUCGAAUGCUGUACUUUGGUCUUCGUCCCCGGACAACAUCACGGCAUGCGACGGACAUGACGUAUCAAUCCCAUGGUCCUUCACGCUGAGUUCCACCGAGACUGUCAUUAGCACCACGUGGUUUGUAGAGAGAAAUGACCGAAGAAAUCUAUUCGCCAGCCUCACCGAGGGCGAGUUUUUCCCACACUCACGGCAGCACGUGCAGUUCGUAUCCAACGCCGGUAUCAGGCUUCAAUAUGUGACUGUCAACGACACAGGGCUGUACUCCGUACACGUCAGCAGUGUUGACAGCGCUGGUCACGUGACCAUAAGCAAUCGUUCUUCUCGCUGUGCAAGUAGCAGGUAAAGACCUAAGCAAUUAGUGGAGUAGAUGGAGAUAAUUUGUGCAGAUGACAGACAUUCAAGACAGAAUACACGGUCUUUUCUGGCAAAUUGGUAUAUACUUGUAUGUUUAGUACUGAUCUUUUGUAGAUAUUUUGCUUGACAACUUAGAACUACCGCUCGGGUAUUUGAUCAUCAUGGCUAAAGAUUUAAAAUAUUUGAUGUGCCUGAAGUUUCUAACAGCUAUUAAUGUUCUGGAAAAAAUCUUUUUUUAAUUAUUAAACAAAAUAUUAGCACACGUGAAACCUUCAGGCUACUGUAGUUUGAGGAGAAAUGUCUUUUAUUUAUUGUAAUCUGCCAUUGUUGCAUUUACACAACACACAGCUCCCCAAGUUCUGUCUGGGAGUCAGUUAGUAGCUCGCCAUCGCCCCGCGCCAGAGAAAGAUGACGUCACGGGGGUUUGGCACGUGAUCUUGGAAUGUGGACAGUUCUCAGACCGGGGUCAGCCGCCGGUCAGCGUCCAAUGGAGGACGCCAUCAGGAGCUGUGUAUACAAACGUCAACUACCGGGAAGGUUACUUUUACCUCCCUCUGCAAGCUUGUGGAGUAGGGAACUACACUUGCUCUCUCUCAUACCAGAGUGUAGCAAAGGAAU